rnacentral:rRNA from 1 species
CUGUGAGGAUGAAGCUGUGUAAGGGCUUCUGAACGUGGAAUUCCUAGUAAUAGCGGCUGACGAAGCUGCUUUGAAUGUGUCCCUGUCCUUUGUACACACCGCCCGUCGCUAUCUAAGAUGACGCACUGGACGAAGAUCGGAAGGUCUGAGUCCUGAGUGUUAGAUAAGAUAUAAGUCGUAACAUGGCUGCUGUUGGAGAACCAGCAGCAGGAUCAGUA